rnacentral:rRNA from 1 species
CCUACGGGUGGCAGCAGUGGGGGAUAUUGGACAAUGGGGUGAACCCUGAUCCAGCGACGCCGCGUGAGUGAAGAAGUCUUUCGGUAUGGAAAGCUCUGUCAGCAGGGAAGAAAGAACGGACGGUACCUGACCAAGAAGCCGCGGCUAACUACGAGCCAGCAGCCGCGGUAAUACGUAGGGGGCAAGCGUUAUCCGGAAUUACUGGGUGUAAAGGGAGCGUAGACGGUUAAGCAAGUCUGGAGUGAAAGGCCGGGGCCCAACCCCGGGACUGCUCUGGAAACUAUUGAACUUGAGUGGCGGGGAGGUAAGCGGAUGUGCUGGUGUAGCGGUGAAAUGCGAAGAUAUUCGGAGGAACACCAGUGGCGAGGGCGGCUUACGGGACCGUACCUAACGUUGAGGCUCGAAAGCGGGGGGAGCAACCAGGAUUAGAUACCCCUGUAGU